GAUAAACGCUGGCGGCAUGCCUAAUACAUGCAAGUCGAACGAUGAAGGUGUAGCUUGCUACACUGGAAGAGUGGCGAACGGGUGAGUAACACGUAGUUAAUCUGCCUAACAGUUUGGGACAACUUUUGGAAACGAAAGCUAAUACCGGAUAGGAAGAAAUUUUAAAGGGGCGAAUGCUCCGCUGUUGGAGGAGACUGCGUCUGAUUAGCUAGUUGGUGCGGUAAGAGCGUACCAAGGCAACGAUCGGUAGCCGGACUGAGAGGUUGAACGGCCACACUGGGACUGAGACACGGCCCAGACUCCUACGGGAGGCAGCAGUAGGGAAUCUUGCACAAUGGGCGAAAGCCUGAUGCAGCAAUGCCGCGUGAGUGAAGAAGGUUUUCGGAUUGUAAAACUCUGUUAUAUGAGAAGAAAGUUAUGAGGAGGAAAUGUCUUAUAAUUGACGGUAUCAUAUGAGAAAGCCACGGCUAACUACGUGCCAGCAGCCGCGGUAAUACGUAGGUGGCAAGCGUUAUCCGGAAUUAUUGGGCGUAAAGGGCGCGCAGGUGGUUAUGAAAGUCUGAUGUGAAAUUUUAGUGCUCAACGCUAAAAGGUCAUUGGAAACUGCAUAACUUGAGAGCAGGAGAGGUAAGUGGAAUUCCUAGUGUAGCGGUGAAAUGCGUAGAGAUUAGGAGGAACACCAGUGGCGAAGGCGGCUUACUGGACUGCAUCUGACACUGAGGCGCGAAAGCGUGG
rnacentral:rRNA from 1 species